GUAGGUGGCAAGCGUUGUCCGGAAUUAUUGGGCGUAAAGCGCGCGCAGGCGGUCCUUUAAGUCUGAUGUGAAAGCCCACGGCUCAACCGUGGAGGGUCAUUGGAAACUGGGGGACUUGAGUACAGAAGAGGAAAGCGGAGUUCCAAGUGUAGCGGUGAAAUGCGCAGAGAUUUGGAGGAACACCAGUGGCGAAGGCGGCUUUCUGGUCUGUAACUGACGCUGAGGCGCGAAAGCGUGGGGAGCAAACAGGGAUUAGAUACCCUGGUAGUCCACGCCGUAAACGAUGAGUGCUAAGUGUUAGGGGGUUUCCGCCCCCUUAGUGCUGCAGCUAACGCAUUAAGCACUCCGCCUGGGGCGUACGGCCGCAAGGCUG
rnacentral:rRNA from 1 species